rnacentral:rRNA from 1 species
GAUGAACGCUGGCGGCGUGCCUAAUACAUGCAGGUCGAGCGAACGGACGAGAAGCUUGCUUCUCUGAUGUUAGCGGCGGACGGGUGAGUAACACGUGGAUAACCUACCUAUAAGACUGGGAUAACUUCGGGAAACCGUAGCUAAUACCGGAUAAUAUUUUGAACCGCAUGGUUCAAAAGUGAAAGACGGUCUUGCCGUCACUUAUAGAUGGAUCCGCGCUGCAUUAGCUAGUUGGUAAGGUAACGGCUUACCAAGGCAACGAUGCAUAGCCGACCUGAGAGGGUGAUCGGCCACACUGGAACUGAGACACGGUCCAGACUCCUACGGGAGGCAGCAGUAGGGAAUCUUCCGCAAUGGGCGAAAGCCUGACGGAGCAACGCCGCGUGAGUGAUGAAGGUCUUCGGAUCGUAAAACUCUGUUAUUAGGGAAGAACAUAUGUGUAAGUAACUGUGCACAUCUUGACGGUACCUAAUCAGAAAGCCACGGCUAACUACGUG